CCCCCACCCCCCAGGGCUGGACAAAAACCUACACAUGACUGAUUUCAUGGCCAGUGCAGAGGGGCUCGUUCCCCGCGCCGGUGAGAGGGGCUCCCGCCGGGCUCUGUCCCGGGCCGGCACCGCUUGGCUCCCACUCUCCGCCGCCUCUGCCCGGCUCUGUCCCUUCACAAAGGGGACACCACCGCUGCCAGGUGCCUCCGCAGCGCUGCCUGAGGGAGCCGAAGCCCCGAGACCUGCUGGGAAGAGGAACAGAUGCCUUGAUUGAAAAUAGGGUGACGACAAGGUCCAGGAAAAAGGAAGACAGAAGAUGAAUAUGUUAUGCGCUACAUCUCACAAUGUAACAACUUCUGUCAUUUGAUGAAAAAUUCGGAUUUAAAAUAAAUUUAAGUACUUUUUCCUCCCA